rnacentral:misc_RNA from 1 species
GAUGAAGAACGCAGCGAAAUGCGAUAAGUAGUGUGAAUUGCAGAAUUCAGUGAAUCAUCGAAUCUUUGAACGCACAUUGCGCCCCUUGGUAUUCCAUGGGGCAUGCCUGUUCGAGCGUCAUUUGUACCUUCAAGCUCUGCUUGGUGUUGGGUGUUUGUCUCGCCUCUGCGUGUAGACUCGCCUCAAAACAAUUGGCAGCCGGCGUAUUGAUUUCGGAGCGCAGUACAUCUCGCGCUUUGCACUCAUAACGACGACGUCCAAAAGUACAUUUUUACACUCUUGACCUCGGAUCAGGUAGGGAUACCGGCUGAACUUAAGCAUAUCAAUAAGCGGAGGA